rnacentral:rRNA from 1 species
GCGCUUAACACAUGCAAGUCGAACGAGAAAGUGGAGCAAUCCAUGAGUAAAGUGGCGUACGGGUGAGUAACACGUGGAUGAUCUGCCCUUGAGUGGGGAAUAACAAUGGGAAACCGUUGCUAAUACCGCAUAUUCCCGAGAGGGGAAAGCAGCAAUGCGCUCGAGGAGGAGUCCGCGGCCGAUUAGCUUGUUGGUAGGGUAAUGGCCUACCAAGGCUGCGAUCGGUAGCCGGCCUGAGAGGGCACACGGCCACACUGGCACUGAAACACGGGCCAG